rnacentral:lncRNA from 1 species
GGCAUUUCUAUAAUUUCCAUAAUCAAGUUGGUGCUCAGUUAACUCAUGACACCAACUCAAUUAUAAGCUUAAAUAAUAGUAUAGAUAAAAUAAUUAUAAUAAUUCUAAUUAUUUUAUUAAUUAUGUUUUCAUUAUUAGGCCUUGUUUGAUUAACUACUGAAAAAAUUAAAUUCAUUGAAAAUUAAUUUUUUUCAAUGAUUUAAUUUUUCACUCGUGUUUGAUAAUCCAAAAUCAAAGCAAUCUGGUAGUGUUAGAAGCCCAAUUUAGCCCUACUAACCCACCAAAAUUAAACUAAUAACCCAAAUAACCCCAAAAAAAUUAAACUCAAACCCUUACAAACCAAAACCCCAACCCGUCAGCCCAAAUAUAUUAUAACUAAACCUAGCCCAACACCCAACUAAACCUAGACCUAGCCCAACAUCAGAAAAAACAAAACAAAAAAGAAAGAAACCCUAAUUUCCUAAGUCAAGCCGCCACCACCAACUCCUCUGAUGCCUCUGCCACCACCCACCGCCACCUGCUCUACCGGCCAUACCUUGCAAAGACAAAGCAAACAAGCAAGAGAGAAAGAAAAAAAACAGUUUGUAACUUGGCUUUAAAAAGCCAAAACCGAAACUAAAGAGGGGGGUUUUUCUUUUUUCUUUCUAUUGAAAUAAACCUAGACAUUGAAAACAAAAAGGCAGAGAUCUUCACAACAUCAAAAACAGAAGAACAAACCAAACUAAAAUAUCAAAAUACCGAAAAAAGUUAGAAACUCAAGGUGAUUUUUUUAGUUUUUCAACCGGAUUUAUUUUCUUUUUUUUUCCUCUUUUUGCUCUCUAGUUAUACAUAUAUACAUAUUUUUUUAAAAAAAAGAGAAAAAUUUUACCUUUCGCGGUGGCCGGCGACGGCGCCGGUGGUGGUGUGCGGUGGCCAUCCUGGCCGAGUUCUAGGUUUGCCCAGAGAGAAAAAUGAGCAUUCUCCUUUCUUUUCUUUUUUUUAAAACAGUGUAACUAAUGAAAGCAAAA